AACACUGUUAACCUGCGGUACCUGCGGAAGGAUCAUUACACAAUACAAUAUGAAGGCUGUCCGCAGCUGGAGUAUUUUAUUACCCUUGUCUUUUGCGCACUUGUUGUUUCCUGGGCGGGUUCGCUCGCCACCAGGACCACCAAAUAAACCUUUUUUAUGCAGUUGCAAUCAGCGUCAGUACAAACAAUGUAAAUCAUUUACAACUUUCAACAAUGGAUCU
rnacentral:misc_RNA from 1 species